rnacentral:rRNA from 1 species
AUUGAACGCUGGCGGCUUGCCUUACACAUGCAGGUCGAACGGUAACGGGUUAAGCCGACAAGUGGCGAACGGGUGAGUAAUAUAUCGAAACGUGCCCAGUCGUGGGGGAUAACGUAAAGAAUUUUACGCUAAUACCGCAUACAAUCUAAGGAUGAAAGCGGGGGACUCGCAAGACCCUCGCGCGAUUGGAGCGGCCGAUAUCAAAUUAGGUUGUUGGUGGGGUAAAAGCCUACCAAGCCUGCGAUCUGUAGCUGGUCUGAGAGGACAACCAGCCACACUGGAACUGAGACACGGUCCAAACUCCUACGGGAGGCAGCAGUGGGGAAUUUUGGACAAUGGGCGCAAGCCUGAUCCAGCAAUGCCGCGUGCAGGAUGAAGGCCUUCGGGUUGUAAACUGCUUUUGUACGGAACGAAACGGUUCUCUUUAAUACAGGGGGCUAAUGACGGUACCGUAAGAAUAACCACCGGCUAACUACGUG